rnacentral:rRNA from 1 species
GACGAACGCUGGCGGCGUGCUUAACACAUGCAAGUCGAACGGAAAGGCCCCUUUGGGGGUACUCGAGUGGCGCACGGGUGAGUAACACGUGGGUAACCUGCCCUUGACUUCGGGAUAACUUCAGGAAACUGGGGCUAAUACCGGAUAGGAAUCCUUGCUGCAUGGUGGGGGUUGGAAAGCUUCGGCGGUUUUGGAUGGACUCGCGGCUUAUCAGCUUGUUGGUGGGGUAGUGGCUUACCAAGGCUUUGACGGGUAGCCGGCCUGAGAGGGCGACCGGCCACAUUGGGACUGAGAUACGGCCCAGACUCCUACGGGAGGCAGCAGUGGGGAAUAUUGCACAAUGGGCGGAAGCCUGAUGCAGCAACGCCGCGGGCGGGAUGACGGCCUUCGGGUUGUAAACCGCUUUCAGCAGGGGCGAAGCUUGUGGUGACGGUACCUGCAGAAGAAGCACCGGCUAACUACGUG